rnacentral:lncRNA from 1 species
AGAGUCUGCUCAGCUCAGGGAAAGUGAAGAAACCUGUUUGGGGGCAGCAGUAGGGUGGGCGUGGGCUGGGCACUGCCAGGAACUCUGCAGCAAGACCAGUUUCCAUUGCUUCCGGACCGGAUGCAGGGCUGUGAUUCGGGCGGAGACUAGAGAAUAUUGCCUGGGAGCACACCUGUAGGUCCUUCUGAACGAUGACGUUGCCAGGGCAUGUCCAUACGAGUAUUUCAUUACCAUUCUAAAAGUGUUAUCAGACGUUGUUGCCUCCUUCUUCACCAACCUAUCAUCGAUCAGCCUAAUAAAUGGAGUUGCCUUGGUCAUGGUGUCUCUUCCGUGAGGGGAACAUUCAUAGUAGGGAAGGAGCAGGUCUUCUGAAUGGACGUCAGCUCCUUCCAGGACUACCAGUUGUUGUUGUUGUUGUUGUUGUUGUUGUUUUAAAUCGUUUGUCUCUCCCCUGGAGAGUCACAAGCCUGGAGAAGAUCUACUGGAGAGCAGUAUCACAGCCCGAGAUACUCUGCAGGGAGCAGAGUCCUUCCCUUCUCGGAGACAGUGCACCCAAGAACAAGAAUUUGCCUAGGGAUCUCAUGUUGUGAGGGAAAGACUGAGGCUCUGUGCCAAUGGAGGAGGAUCUUGUCUUCUCAGAAAAGAUGCCAUAUAGUCCUGACUUUUCGGACCACAUUCAAAAAGAGAGGGGCAGAAACAAUGUUGGGUUGGUAAUGGGUGGCCUACUUAGCUGUGCAUGCCUCUCGCUCUCUUAUCCCUAGACCUCAUGUCUGAGGAGGAAGAUUAGUAGGGUUGGCCCCAGGUACUGUCACUGGACCUCUUUCCAAUGUGGCCACAUUGAAUAAAUCUCUG